rnacentral:rRNA from 1 species
UACGUAGGGGGCGAGCGUUGUCCGGAUUUAUUGGGCGUAAAGAGCGUGUAGGCUGUUCGGUAAGUCUGUCGUGAAAUCCUGAGGCUCAACCUCGGGCGUGCGAUGGAUACUGCCGGGCUAGAGGAUGGUAGAGGCGAGUGGAAUUCCCGGUGUAGCGGUGAAAUGCGCAGAUAUCGGGAGGAACACCAGUGGCGAAGGCGGCACUCUGGGCCAGUACUGACGCUGAGGAGCGAAAGCGUGGGGAGCGAACAGG